GCACCUCUCCCAUGUAGUGGUGUGCUGAGUCUUUCCACUCAUAUCUAGACUGCGUGUCGCAAAUGCUAACACUAAAAUCACAGCAUUCCGGAAACAGAGUAGAUCUCCUCGCGCGCUGAUCACACCACUCUCCCUGGCAAAUAGCUCCUGAUUGAGAGUGCAGGCUCCAAAGAUGGGUGUGUCGUUGAAACACCCCUCUCUUUUGGAGACAGCGACCGCUCCUCCAGCUCCCCAUUCAUCAGCUCGAAAUGCUGAGUAGCGAAUGACAAAAUUCUCUAUGGGAGGAGCUAGACUGCCACUUGGCUGAAGCUAACUCUGGACCUCAACUUCAUCCCGUACGAUGUUGCCAGGACACACGAAGCCAGGGCGAUAGCAGAUCAUAGAAUACGUUGAUGUUGUGCGGAUGCGGGCUGGGGAGGUUAGACCCGCGGUGUUCCAGCAUUAAUGUGGAAUCACUCCUCUCACUCCUUCCCGGGGAAUUCUGGAGCGCUAACGCUUCAACUGGAAAUCAUUCUGCCGGGUGGAUUCCAUCGACGUGAAAAGAUAGGUAGAAUCAGUGGCUGAGAAUUACAAUAGACGAUUCUAUUUAGAUGGGAAAUCUUUCCGUCAUGAAAAGUGCAAGAAUCAUCCCUUCAAGCGCCCCAGUAUCUCCCCGCCUCGCGAUUCAACUCACACAUCUUGAUAUUUAUUAUAGGAAAGAAUAACGAAUUUGAAUGG
rnacentral:sRNA from 1 species